UGAACUCAGAAAUCUGCCUGC
rnacentral:piRNA from 1 species